AUGAACGCUAGCGACAGGCUUAACACAUGCAAGUCGAGGGGCAGCACAGGUAGCAAUACCGGGUGGCGACCGGCGCACGGGUGAGUAACGCGUAUGCAACUUGCCUAUCAGAGGGGGAUAACCCGGCGAAAGUCGGACUAAUACCGCAUGAAGCAGGGAUCCCGCAUGGGAAUAUUUGCUAAAGAUUCAUCGCUGAUAGAUAGGCAUGCGUUCCAUUAGGCAGUUGGCGGGGUAACGGCCCACCAAACCGACGAUGGAUAGGGGUUCUGAGAGGAAGGUCCCCCACAUUGGUACUGAGACACGGACCAAACUCCUACGGGAGGCAGCAGUGAGGAAUAUUGGUCAAUGGCCGAGAGGCUGAACCAGCCAAGUCGCGUGAGGGAUGAAGGUUCUAUGGAUCGUAAACCUCUUUUAUAAGGGAAUAAAGUGCGGGACGUGUCCCGUUUUGUAUGUACCUUAUGAAUAAGGAUCGGCUAACUCCGUGCCAGCAGCCGCGGUAAUACGGAGGAUCCGAGCGUUAUCCGGAUUUAUUGGGUUUAAAGGGUGCGUAGGCGGCCUUUUAAGUCAGCGGUGAAAGUCUGUGGCUCAACCAUAGAAUUGCCGUUGAAACUGGGGGGCUUGAGUAUGUUUGAGGCAGGCGGAAUGCGUGGUGUAGCGGUGAAAUGCAUAGAUAUCACGCAGAACCCCGAUUGCGAAGGCAGCCUGCCAAGCCAUUACUGACGCUGAUGCACGAAAGCGUGGGGAUCAAACAGGAUUAGAUACCCUGGUAGUCCACGCAGUAAACGAUGAUCACUAGCUGUUUGCGAUACAGUGUAAGCGGCACAGCGAAAGCGUUAAGUGAUCCACCUGGGGAGUACGCCGGCAACGGUGAAACUCAAAGGAAUUGACGGGGGCCCGCACAAGCGGAGGAACAUGUGGUUUAAUUCGAUGAUACGCGAGGAACCUUACCCGGGCUUGAAAGUUAGCGACGAUUCUUGAAAGAGGAUUUCCCUUCGGGGCGCGAAACUAGGUGCUGCAUGGUUGUCGUCAGCUCGUGCCGUGAGGUGUCGGCUUAAGUGCCAUAACGAGCGCAACCCUUGCCACUAGUUACUAACAGGUAAAGCUGAGGACUCUGGUGGGACUGCCAGCGUAAGCUGCGAGGAAGGCGGGGAUGACGUCAAAUCAGCACGGCCCUUACAUCCGGGGCGACACACGUGUUACAAUGGCGUGGACAAAGGGAGGCCACCUGGCGACAGGGAGCGAAUCCCCAAACCACGUCUCAGUUCGGAUCGGAGUCUGCAACCCGACUCCGUGAAGCUGGAUUCGCUAGUAAUCGCGCAUCAGCCAUGGCGCGGUGAAUACGUUCCCGGGCCUUGUACACACCGCCCGUCAAGCCAUGGGAGCCGGGGGUACCUGAAGUCCGUAACCGCGAGGAUCGGCCUAGGGUAAAACUGGUGACUGGGGCU
rnacentral:rRNA from 1 species